GACUGGGUGACAGGCCGAGGAAAGAACGGCUGGUGGAGCCCGCGCUCUUAGCCGCGCAGCUCGCUGGGAGACGUAGUUCCGCGCAAGAAUACGGAUUCUCAGAAGGGCACACAGACGCGGAAGGACAUCGCGCAGCGCUGCCGGGCACAAAGCCCGGACUCGUUUGUUGGCUGUAAAUUUAAAUUCUAAAAAGGCAUUUAGGGCUUAAAAGGAGUUAAUAGAAAGGUCUGGAUAUGGUCGGCCCAGCUCUACCCUCUCCUUCAAUCGGCAAGAAAUAAAGCCCAGGAAUGUAGGUGGCACAAUAAGACCUAUAUUUGGAUCUCCAAAUUGGGCUACAUAUAUAGGAGACUGAAAGGCCACAUCCCAUCUUCCUUUUUCACCCUCCAGAAACAAGAUUUCCAGCACAGGAAAUUAUCUCCUUCUUGGAAGGGACAUCCCUCAGAACCAAACUCUGAAAGGAACAGAUCUGUAAAAUAAUUUGCCUUGAGCUGGGUUUGGUGGGUCAUGCCUGUAAUCUCAGUAUUAGGGAAGUUGAGGCAGGAGGGUGGGAAGUUUAAGAUCAGUCUGGACAAUAUAGCAAAUUUGAGGGCA